CGGCGCGCAAUUACCCACUCCCGGCACGGGGAGGUAGUGACGAAAAAUAACGAUACGGGACUCAUCCGAGGCCCCGUAAUCGGAAUGAGUACACUUUAAAUCCUUUAACGAGGAUCAAUUGGAGGGCAAGUCUGGUGCCAGCAGCCGCGGUAAUUCCAGCUCCAAUAGCGUAUAUUAAAGUUGUUGCGGUUAAAAAGCUCGUAGUCGAAUUUGUGUCUCAUGCCGCUGGUUCAUCGUUCGCGGUGUAAACUGGCGUGACAUGGGACGUCCUGCCGGUGGGCUUAGCUCUUAACGGGGCGGCCCUAUACAAUCCUGCCGCGUUGCUCUUGAUUGAGUGUCGAGGUGGGCCGGCUCAUUUACUUUGAACAAAUUAAAGUGCUUAAAGCAGGCUAAAAUUUUGCCUGAAUAUGUGUGCAUGGAAUAAUGGAAUAGGACCUCGGUUCUAUUUUGUUGGUUUUAAGAACCCCGAGGUAAUGAUUAAUAGGAACGGAUGGGGGCAUUCGUAUUGCGGCGUUAGAGGUGAAAUUCUUGGAUCGCCGCAAGACGAACAUAAGCGAAAGCAUUUGCCAAAAACGUUUUCAUUGAUCAAGAACGAAAGUUAGAGGUUCGAAGGCGAUCAGAUACCGCCCUAGUUCUAACCAUAAACGAUGCCAGCCAGCGAUCCGCCGACGUUCCUCCGAUGACUCGGCGGGCAGCUUCCGGGAAACCAAAGCUUUUGGGU
rnacentral:rRNA from 1 species